rnacentral:tRNA from 1 species
GACGCAUUCGGCAAGCGGCUAAGCCACACGACUUUCACUCGUGUAACGCCCAGUUCGAAUCCCACAUGCGUCACCA